GCAUCGGUAGUGUAAUGGAUCAACACGGCAGACCGGAUAUCUGAAAGUGUGGGUUCGAGUCUCGCCUGAGGUU
rfam:Dictyocaulus viviparus strain HannoverDv2000 D_viviparus-1.0_Cont914.1, whole genome shotgun sequence.